UGCAGUCGAGCGCACUCUUCGGAGUGAGCGGCGGACGGGUUAGUAACGCGUGGGAACGUACCCAGAUCUACGGAAUAGCCUCGGGAAACUGAGAGUAAUACCGUAUACGCCCUUCGGGGGAAAGAUUUAUCGGAUUUGGAUCGGCCCGCGUUAGAUUAGAUAGUUGGUGAGGUAACGGCUCACCAAGUCUACGAUCUAUAGCUGGUUUUAGAGGAUGAUCAGCAACACUGGGACUGAGACACGGCCCAGACUCCUACGGGAGGCAGCAGUGGGGAAUCUUGGACAAUGGGCGCAAGCCUGAUCCAGCCAUGCCGCGUGAGUGAUGAAGGCCUUAGGGUCGUAAAGCUCUUUCGCCAGAGAUGAUAAUGACAGUAUCUGGUAAAGAAACCCCGGCUAACUCCGUGCCAGCAGCCGCGGUAAUACGGAGGGGGUUAGCGUUGUUCGGAAUUACUGGGCGUAAAGCGCGCGUAGGCGGACCAGAAAGUUAGGGGUGAAAUCCCGGGGCUCAACCCCGGAACUGCCUCUAAAACUCCUGAUCUAGAGUUCGAGAGAGGUGAGUGGAAUUCCGAGUGUAGAGGUGAAAUUCGUAGAUAUUCGGAGGAACACCAGUGGCGAAGGCGGCUCA
rnacentral:rRNA from 1 species